rnacentral:rRNA from 1 species
GUAGGGGGCGAGCGUUGUCCGGAAUCAUUGGGCGUAAAGCGCGUGUAGGCGGCUCGAUAAGUCUGGUGUGAAACCUUGGGGCUUAACCCCAAGCCUGCACUGGAUACUGUCGAGCUUGAGUCCGGGAGGGGAGAGCGGAAUUCCUAGUGUAGCGGUGAAAUGCGCAGAUAUUAGGAAGAACACCGGUGGCGAAGGCGGCUCUCUGGAACGGUACUGACGCUGAGACGCGAAAGCGUGGGGAGCGAACAGGAUUAGAUACCCUGGUAGUCCACGCCGUAAACGAUGGGCACUAGAUGUGGGCGGUGUCGACUCCGUCCGUGUCGAAKCUAACGCAUUAAGUGCCCCGCCUGGGGAGUACGGCCGCRAGGCUA